rnacentral:rRNA from 1 species
GACGAACGCUGGCGGCGUGCUUAACACAUGCAAGUCGAGCGGUAAGGCCCUUUCGGGGGUACACGAGCGGCGAACGGGUGAGUAACACGUGGGUGACCUGCCCUCAGCUCUGGGAUAAGCCUGGGAAACCGGGUCUAAUACCGGAUAUGACUCCAUGACGCAUGUUGUGGGGUGGAAAGCCUUGUGCGGCUGAGGAUGGGCCCGCGGCCUAUCAGCUUGUUGGUGGGGUGAUGGCCUACCAAGGCGACGACGGGUAGUCGGCCUGAGAGGGCGACCGGCCACACUGGGACUGAGACACGGCCCAGACUCCUACGGGAGGCAGCAGUGGGGAAUCUUGCGCAAUGGGCGAAAGCCUGACGCAGCGACGCCGCGU